rnacentral:rRNA from 1 species
GAAACGACAGCUAAUACCGGAUAUUAUGGGAACCUCGCAUGGGGAACUUAUGAAAGCUAUAUGCGCUAGAGGAGAGCUUUGCGUGCCAUUAGGUAGUUGGUAGGGUAAUGGCCUACCAAGCCGACGAUGGCUAGCCGGCCUGAGGGGGUGAUCGGCCACAAGGGGACUGAGACACGGCCCUUACUCCUACGGGAGGCAGCAGUGGGGAAUAUUGGACAAUGGGCCACAAGCCUGAUCCAGCAAUUCUGUGUGCACGAUGAAGGUUUUAGGAUCGUAAAGUGCUUCCAGCAGGGAAGAAAAAAAUGACGGUACCUGCAGAAGAAGCGACGGCUAAAUACGUGCCAGCAGCCGCGGUAAUACGUAUGUCGCAAGCGUUAUCCGGAAUUAUUGGGCGUAAAGCGCGUCUAGGCGGUCUUUUAGUCCGAUGUUAAAAUGCGGGGCUCACUCCGUAUUGCGUUGGAACUGGAAGACUAGAGUAUCA